rnacentral:lncRNA from 10 species
GCGUGCCCGCCCGGCGCCCUCUAGGGUGGAAGGCUGCGGGCGUCCUACCAGUGCCAGGACUGCCAGAGCGGGAGGAGCGCGGCGCGGGCCAGCCGGGACUGCUGGACAGCGGGGUCCAGGCUAGAGGCGAGCGAGCGGUCAGUGACGGCUGUGGAGGAGGGAGGCGCUGGGCGUCAGCGCGGGACCCGAGCCUCUGGACCACUGAGCUGGGGGGCUGGCUGAGGUCCACCUCCUAACAAAUUAUUGGAAGGAAUAUGAGAAAAGCAGGUCUCUAGACUCCUGGACUCAAGCCAUCCUCCUGCCUCUGCCUCUCAAAGUGCUGAGAUUACAGGUGUGAGCCACUGCGCUCAGGUUAAAGU